GCCCUUAGAGUUUGAUCCUGGCUCAGAACGAACGCUGGCGGCAGGCCUAACACAUGCAAGUCGAGCGCUCUUCUUCGGAAGGGAGCGGCGGACGGGUUAGUAACGCGUGGGAAUAUACCCAGUUCUAAGGAAUAGCCUCUGGAAACGGAGAGUAAUACCUUAUACGCCCUUCGGGGGAAAGAUUUAUCGGAAUUGGAUUAGCCCGCGUUAGAUUAGAUAGUUGGUGGGGUAACGGCCUACCAAGUCUACGAUCUAUAGCUGGUUUGAGAGGAUGAUCAGCAACACUGGGACUGAGACACGGCCCAGACUCCUACGGGAGGCAGCAGUGGGGAAUCUUAGACAAUGGGCGCAAGCCUGAUCUAGCCAUGCCGCGUGAGUGACGAAGGCCUUAGGGUCGUAAAGCUCUUUCGCCAGGGAUGAUAAUGACAGUACCUGGUAAAGAAACCCCGGCUAACUCCGUGCCAGCAGCCGCGGUAAUAAGGGCG
rnacentral:rRNA from 1 species